rnacentral:misc_RNA from 1 species
GAUGAAGAACGUAGUGAAAUGCGAUACGUAAUGUGAAUUGCAGAAUUCAGUGAAUCAUCGAAUCUUGAACGCAUAUUGCGCUCUCUGGUAUUCCGGAGAGCAUGCUUGUUUGAGUAUCAGUAAACACCUCAACUUCCAUAUCUUUUUUGAAAUGGGAGUUGGACUUGAGUGAUCCCAACGCUUUUCCUCACCGAAAAGUGGCGGGUUACUUGAAAUGCAGGUGCAGCUGGACUUUUCUCUGAGCUAUAAGCAUAUCUAUUUAGUCUGCCUAAAAAACAGAUUAUUACCUUUGCUGCAGCUAACAUAAAGGAGAUUAGUUCUUGUGCUGACUGAUGCAGGAUUCACAAAGACAGCUUCGGCCGACUUUGUAAACUCGAUCUCAAAUCAAGUAAGACUACCCGCUGAACUUAAGCAUAUCAAUAAGCGGAGGA